AGCGAACAUUGGCGGCAGGCCUAACACAUGCAAGUCGAACGCGUUCUUCGGAACGAGUGGCGAACGGGUGAGUACAACUUGGGAAUCUGCCUUUCACUGGGGGAUAACUAUUGGAAACAGUAGCUAAUACCGCAUACGCCCUUAGGGGGAAAACUCCGGUGGUGAAAGAUGAGCCCAAGCUUGAUUAGCUAGUUGGUGAGGUAAGAGCUCACCAAGGCGACGAUCAAUAGCUGGUUUGAGAGGAUGAUCAGCCACACUGGGACUGAGACACGGCCCAG
rnacentral:rRNA from 1 species